rnacentral:snoRNA from 1 species
CCUCUUUUACCUCUGUUUGAGCACACAGGCCCAGUGUGUGCCUGCAGUAUUUUCAGGGAGAGGGAGGAAGGCUCUCCCAAUGCGUGACAGAGCCACCCCAGAUGGCAUUUUUGUUCCUAGUAGUAUGACAGGU